UGUACUAGCAACUCUGUAAAGAAGUCUUCUCUAUGGAUAACUAUGAGGAGCUUGUUGAUCCUUCAACCUUCAUUCCUCGAUUCACAAACGUGGACAUGACGAUGGAACAACAACAAAGGUCAUUGGAACGGCUAUGAAUAUUAUAGCUAGUAUGAAGGGAGAUUGGAUGCAGACCGGCCGGAAACUAAGUGGAUCAUAUGUGGAGCAGCAAUUUACAUAGCUGCCCUUUCUCAUGAUAUUGUAGA